rnacentral:rRNA from 1 species
UACGUAGGGGCCUAGCGUUGUCCGGAUUUAUUGGGCGUAAAGAGCUCGUAGGCGGUUUGGUAAGUCGGGUGUGAAAUCUCCACGCUCAACGUGGAGGGGCCACCCGAUACUGCCAUGACUGGAGUCCGGUAGGGGAGUGUGGAAUUCCCGGUGUAGCGGUGAAAUGCGCAGAUAUCGGGAGGAACACCUGUGGCGAAAGCGGCGCACUGGACCAUAACUGACGCUGAUGCGCGAAAGCUAGGGGAGCAAACAGG